GAAAUGCGAUAAGUAAUGUGAAUUGCAGAAUUCAGUGAAUCAUCGAAUCUUUGAACGCACAUUGCGCCCGCCAGUAUUCUGGCGGGCAUGCCUGUUCGAGCGUCAUUACAACCCUCAGGCCCCCGGGCCUGGCGUGGGGGAUCGGCGGAAGCCCCCUGCGGGCACAACGCCGUCCCCCAAAUACAGUGGCGGUCCCGCCGCAGCUUCCAUUGCGUAGUAGCUAACACCUCGCAACUGGAGAGCGGCGCGGCCACGCCGUAAAACACCCAACUUCUGAAUGUUGACCUCGAAUCAGGUAGGAAUACCCGCUGAACUUAAGC
rnacentral:misc_RNA from 1 species